ACCUCGGCCUCCUAAAGUGCUGGGAUUACAGGCGUGAGCCACAGCAUCCGGCCUUAAAGGUUCUUACUUUUAUGAUAGUUGCCUGACAUCCAGCUAUAUAAAGAUUCAAGGAAAUUUUCUGUCAUAACCUGCCUAUAGUUUGUGAGGACUAAACUCUGAUUUUUUUUGUUCUUAUUUUGCUCAAAUUCCUCCCUAAGGGGCCUGGGGAGUCACACCCUACAAACCAUAAAGUCUCAUCAGAGAGGCUUUAAUUUUAACCCUAUAGCGUGGUCUGCUUUCUGACCUGACUCUGGCAUAACCUCACAUAACAAAUAAGAGAAGAAAUCAAAAUAUUUUAACCCCAAAUAUAUUUGCUUGCCAUAUCUUGAAACUGCCCUGCAAAGUUGUCUCCUGUGGAAAAAAUCUACAUUCUGUAGAGAAUCCCAUUUUCCCUUUUUUCUAACUUCUUUCCAGAUCCAGGAGAUAAUCAACUAAGAACCAGGCACCCUUUUAUGUUAGAUAAGAAACACUUCAGGCCAGUGCAGUGGCUCACACCUGUAAUCCCAGCUCUUUGGGUGGCCGAGGCAUGUGGAUCACUUGAGGUCAGGAGUUCAAGACCAGACUGGCCAACGUGAUGAAACCCUGUCUCUACAAAAAUACAAAAAUUUGCCAGGCGUGGUGGUGCACGCCUGUAAUCCCAGCUGCUCAGGAGGCUGAGGCAGGAGAAUCACUUGAACGCAGGAGGGAGAGGUUGCAGUGAGCUGAGAUCACUCCACUGCACUCCAGCCUGGGCAACACAGCAAGACCCCAU
rnacentral:lncRNA from 10 species